AUAUCAAUAAGCGGAGGAAAAGAAACCAACAGGGAUUGCCUUAGUAGCGGCGAGUGAAGCGGCAAUAGCUCAAAUUUGAAAUCUGGCACUUUCAGUGUCCGAGUUGUAAUUUGAAGAAGGUAUCUUUGGGUCUAGCUCUUGUCUAUGUUUCUUGGAACAGAACGUCACAGAGGGUGAGAAUCCCGUGCGAUGAGAUGUCUAGAUCUAUGUAAAGUUCCUUCGAAGAGUCGAGUUGUUUGGGAAUGCAGCUCUAAGUGGGUGGUAAAUUCCAUCUAAAGCUAAAUAUUGGCGAGAGACCGAUAGCGAACAAGUACAGUGAUGGAAAGAUGAAAAGAACUUUGAAAAGAGAGUGAAAAAGUACGUGAAAUUGUUGAAAGGGAAGGGCUUGAGAUCAGACUUGGUAUUUUGUAUGUUACUCUCUCGGGGGUGGCCUCUACAGUUUACCGGGCCAGCAUCAGUUUGAGCGGUAGGAGAAUUGCGUAGGAAUGUGGCUCGGCCUCGGUCGAGUGUUAUAGCCUUCGUCGAUACUGCCAGCUUAGACUGAGGACUGCGGCUUCGGCCUAGGAUGUUGGCAUAAUGAUCUUAAGUCGC
rnacentral:rRNA from 1 species